rnacentral:rRNA from 1 species
ACGACGCUGGCGGCGUGCCUAAUACAUGCAAGUCGAACGGUCUUUCUAUGGAAGCUUGCUUCCACUGAGAAGAUAGUGGCGAACGGGUGAGUAACACGUGGGUAACCUGCCCAUAAGAGGGGGAUAACAUCCGGAAACGGGUGCUAAUACCGCAUAGUUUUCUUGAUCGCAUGAUCGGGAAAGGAAAGACGGCCUUUGUGCUGUCGCUUAUGGAUGGACCCGCGGCGUAUUAGUUAGUUGGUGAGGUAACGGCUCACCAAGACGAUGAUACGUAGCCGACCUGAGAGGGUGAUCGGCCACAUUGGGACUGAGACACGGCCCAAACUCCUACGGGAGGCAGCAGUAGGGAAUCUUCCGCAAUGGACGAAAGUCUGACGGAGCAACGCCGCGUGAGUGAAGAAGGUUUUCGGAAUCGUAAAACUCUGUUGUCAGAGAAGAACAAGUUGGAGAGUAACUGCUCCAGCCUUGACGGUAUCUGACCAGAAAGCCACGGCUAACUACGUGCCAGCAGCAGC